GUCUGGAUAGCUCAGUGGUCUAGAGCAGUUAUCCAAAAAAUGAAAAACUCGGGUUCGAUUCCCAAUCCAGCCA
rnacentral:tRNA from 1 species